rnacentral:rRNA from 1 species
CCUACGGGAGGCAGCAGUGAGGAAUAUUGGUCAAUGGCCGCAGGGCUGAACCAGCCAAGUCGCGUGAGGGAUGACGGUCCUAUGGAUUGUAAACCUCUUUUGUCAGGGAGCAAAGGGCGCCACGUGUGGCGCUUUGCGAGUACCUGAAGAAAAAGCAUCGGCUAACUCCGUGCCAGCAGCCGCGGUAAUACGGAGGAUGCGAGCGUUAUCCGGAUUUAUUGGGUUUAAAGGGUGCGCAGGCGGAAUGUCAAGUCAGCGGUAAAAUUUCGGGGCUCAACCCCGUCGUGCCGUUGAAACUGGUGUUCUUGAGUGAGCGAGAGGUAUGCGGAAUGCGUGGUGUAGCGGUGAAAUGCAUAGAUAUAACGCAGAACUCCGAUUGCGAAGGCAGCAUACCGGCGCUCAACUGACGCUCAUGCACGAAAGUGUGGGUAUCGAACAGGAUUAGAUACCCGUGUAGUC